rnacentral:rRNA from 1 species
GGGUUGUGAGGUUAAGCGACUAAGCGUACACGGUGGAUGCCCUGGCAGUCAGAGGCGAUGAAGGACGUGCUAAUCUGCGAUAAGCGUCGGUGAGGUGAUAUGAACCGUUAUAACCGGCGAUUUCCGAAUGGGGAAACCCAGUGUGAUUCGUCACACUAUCAUUAACUGAAUCCAUAGGUUAAUGAGGCGAACCGGGGGAACUGAAACAUCUAAGUACCCCGAGGAAAAGAAAUCAACCGAGAUUCCCCCAGUAGCGGCGAGCGAACGGGGAGCAGCCCAGAGCCUGAAUCAGUGUGUGUGUUAGUGGAAGCGUCUGGAAAGGCGCGCGAUACAGGGUGACAGCCCCGUACACAAAAAUGCACAUGCUGUGAGCUCGAUGAGUAGGGCGGGACACGUGGUAUCCUGUCUGAAUAUGGGGGGACCAUCCUCCAAGGCUAAAUACUCCUGACUGACCGAUAGUGAACCAGUACCGUGAGGGAAAGGCGAAAAGAACCCCGGCGAGGGGAGUGAAAAAGAACCUGAAACCGUGUACGUACAAGCAGUGGGAGCACCCUUUUGGGUGUGACUGCGUACCUUUUGUAUAAUGGGUCAGCGACUUAUAUUCUGUAGCAAGGUUAACCGAAUAGGGGAGCCGAAGGGAAACCGAGUCUUAACUGGGCGUUAAGUUGCAGGGUAUAGACCCGAAACCCGGUGAUCUAGCCAUGGGCAGGUUGAAGGUUGGGUAACACUAACUGGAGGACCGAACCGACUAAUGUUGAAAAAUUAGCGGAUGACUUGUGGCUGGGGGUGAAAGGCCAAUCAAACCGGGAGAUAGCUGGUUCUCCCCGAAAGCUAUUUAGGUAGCGCCUCGUGAAUUCAUCUCCGGGGGUAGAGCACUGUUUCGGCAAGGGGGUCAUCCCGACUUACCAACCCGAUGCAAACUGCGAAUACCGGAGAAUGUUAUCACGGGAGACACACGGCGGGUGCUAACGUCCGUCGUGAAGAGGGAAACAACCCAGACCGCCAGCUAAGGUCCCAAAGUCAUGGUUAAGUGGGAAACGAUGUGGGAAGGCCCAGACAGCCAGGAUGUUGGCUUAGAAGCAGCCAUCAUUUAAAGAAAGCGUAAUAGCUCACUGGUCGAGUCGGCCUGCGCGGAAGAUGUAACGGGGCUAAACCAUGCACCGAAGCUGCGGCAGCGACACUAAGUGUUGUUGGGUAGGGGAGCGUUCUGUAAGCCUGUGAAGGUGUACUGUGAGGUAUGCUGGAGGUAUCAGAAGUGCGAAUGCUGACAUAAGUAACGAUAAAGCGGGUGAAAAGCCCGCUCGCCGGAAGACCAAGGGUUCCUGUCCAACGUUAAUCGGGGCAGGGUGAGUCGACCCCUAAGGCGAGGCCGAAAGGCGUAGUCGAUGGGAAACAGGUUAAUAUUCCUGUACUUGGUGUUACUGCGAAGGGGGGACGGAGAAGGCUAUGUUGGCCGGGCGACGGUUGUCCCGGUUUAAGCGUGUAGGCUGGUUUUCCAGGCAAAUCCGGAAAAUCAAGGCUGAGGCGUGAUGACGAGGCACUACGGUGCUGAAGCAACAAAUGCCCUGCUUCCAGGAAAAGCCUCUAAGCAUCAGGUAACAUCAAAUCGUACCCCAAACCGACACAGGUGGUCAGGUAGAGAAUACCAAGGCGCUUGAGAGAACUCGGGUGAAGGAACUAGGCAAAAUGGUGCCGUAACUUCGGGAGAAGGCACGCUGAUAUGUAGGUGAAGCGACUUGCUCGUGGAGCUGAAAUCAGUCGAAGAUACCAGCUGGCUGCAACUGUUUAUUAAAAACACAGCACUGUGCAAACACGAAAGUGGAUGUAUACGGUGUGACGCCUGCCCGGUGCCGGAAGGUUAAUUGAUGGGGUUAGCGGUAACGCGAAGCUCUUGAUCGAAGCCCCGGUAAACGGCGGCCGUAACUAUAACGGUCCUAAGGUAGCGAAAUUCCUUGUCGGGUAAGUUCCGACCUGCACGAAUGGCGUAAUGAUGGCCAGGCUGUCUCCACCCGAGACUCAGUGAAAUUGAACUCGCUGUGAAGAUGCAGUGUACCCGCGGCAAGACGGAAAGACCCCGUGAACCUUUACUAUAGCUUGACACUGAACAUUGAGCCUUGAUGUGUAGGAUAGGUGGGAGGCUUUGAAGUGUGGACGCCAGUCUGCAUGGAGCCGACCUUGAAAUACCACCCUUUAAUGUUUGAUGUUCUAACGUUGGCCCCUGAUCGGGGUUGCGGACAGUGUCUGGUGGGUAGUUUGACUGGGGCGGUCUCCUCCUAAAGAGUAACGGAGGAGCACGAAGGUUGGCUAAUCCUGGUCGGACAUCAGGAGGUUAGUGCAAUGGCAUAAGCCAGCUUGACUGCGAGCGUGACGGCGCGAGCAGGUGCGAAAGCAGGUCAUAGUGAUCCGGUGGUUCUGAAUGGAAGGGCCAUCGCUCAACGGAUAAAAGGUACUCCGGGGAUAACAGGCUGAUACCGCCCAAGAGUUCAUAUCGACGGCGGUGUUUGGCACCUCGAUGUCGGCUCAUCACAUCCUGGGGCUGAAGUAGGUCCCAAGGGUAUGGCUGUUCGCCAUUUAAAGUGGUACGCGAGCUGGGUUUAGAACGUCGUGAGACAGUUCGGUCCCUAUCUGCCGUGGGCGCUGGAGAACUGAGGGGGGCUGCUCCUAGUACGAGAGGACCGGAGUGGACGCAUCACUGGUGUUCGGGUUGUCAUGCCAAUGGCACUGCCCGGUAGCUAAAUGCGGAAGAGAUAAGUGCUGAAAGCAUCUAAGCACGAAACUUGCCCCGAGAUGAGUUCUCCCUGACUCCUUGAGAGUCCUGAAGGAACGUUGAAGACGACGACGUUGAUAGGCCGGGUGUGUAAGCGCAGCGAUGCGUUGAGCUAACCGGUACUAAUGAACCGUGAGGCUUAACCUUACAACGCCGAAG